UCUCAUGACCCUGAGAUCGUGACCUGAGCCGAAACCAAGUCAGACGCUUAACCGGCUGAGUCACCCAGGUGCCCCUCUUGUACAGCCACCUUCUUAACUGCAAGAGUGUACGAGGCGGAGCCUAUGAUUUUUCUUCCUUAUCGUUAUGGGGAGACUGAUGAGCAGAAGGGUGAGUGGUGUACAGAAGGUGCGCUGGCAGGGCUGGGGGCAAGGGGCAGAUCGAGCUCUGUAGGUAACAGCUAGUUCUCAGUGUUCUGGGCUUCCUUUUCAAACAGUCUUUUGGGCUCUUGUAGAAUGAGUUCACAUGCAUACUACAUUUGCUAAUUCUGGGAACUGAGAAGAUCUGCCAAUAAGCUUCUUGGAGAUGGAUGACUUUUUAAAUGUCAAAUGCAACAUUGAGCCGUUAAAUUGUGCUGUUUAAAAUGUCAGGAAAAACCAUUAUUUUUGCAGACAGGGCUUCAGUGUGGUCUGAUUUCAAGUCUGUGGAAUGACUCCUGUCUUUGAGAAGAAUCCUUCUUUUCUUAUUUUGAAAUGCUGCUAUUGUUUUGUCCAGGGAAGAGUGGUCCGAGAGGCAUUUCUGGCCACUGAGUCCAAGCUAGCACGGGCAAGUAGUUGAAGUUCCCACCCCGGACUAGCCUCAUCCUCGCAGGAACUCGGCCAAUAGCUAGCCACCGGCCUGCCCUCUUCCCAUCUUCCCCCUGUACUAAAACCUCCUCCCCCCCCGCACCCCAAUACAGAGCUCUGGGUGAGGUUUCCUCUAGAAUCCAUUCCAGUUCUGUUGUUUUCAGCCAUUUUUCUGCAGAGCAUAGUGGGGACUAGUAGAGUAGACUUUAUUACUCCCAAGAAGAAUCCAGUUGAACGCUUUAGAGCACAGCAGUCCCCAUGGGCAAGUGCCAAGUAAUGACCGCUCCCUGUGGAGAGUUAGAGCCUGGAAGCUUUGGGUCUCUUUCUCCACACGUGUCAUUUUCAUCCAGGUCUUGUCACAUGAUUAGGAGCCUGAAUUAAAUCGCCAGAAAGUAAUCUGGAGUUUGAGUGAUAUGGGUGGAAGUGGGUGAGAGAGAGGGCAACUACCUCCCCGAGUUGUGGGAGAGCUGGGAGAGGGAGGGAUGCAGCCCCCUCUGUAAUCUGUGGCCCUGAGGUCUUCUGAAGCACUGUUUUAGCACAGUCAGCCCCUCCUCCUCUGGCUUCCUCCUUCAUUGUGACACAGCUUGAUCAUCUCAAAUUGUUAGGCUGAAGGAGAUGACUCCCAACCGGUCUCCGUAUCUGAAAUUAUAUGUGUUGGAAACGUAAAUGAAUAUUUGUCCCUGUGUAACAAACAGAUAAGGGAACUGAGACACAGAGACAUUUAUAGCCCAUCGAACAUCAGACCCUGAGUCCUUCAGAGAGCUUCUGUUCCCUCGUGUGAUCCUUUGUCUGUGAGUCACUGACCUACAUCACACAGGCCGUGCUGGCUCUCCCACUCUGGGACUAACAUGAAAGGUAGAGAAAUUCAGAUAUAAAUUUCCCGCUUGGAUGUCUCAGAAAUGUGCAUCUUCAGGAAUAUUAUUCAUUGGUUGAAGAAAAUAUUGCUAGAUGAGAUAGCAAUCACCAUCCUGGUACUUGUCUCCUUUUUUUAGACUUUAUUAAUUUGACAGAGAGAGCACAGAGGGAGAGUGAGAGGGAGAAGCAGACUCCUUGCUGAGGAGAGACACCAACAUGGGCCUCGAUACCUGGACCCUGAGAUCAUGACCUGAGCCAAAGGCAGAUGCUUAACAAACUGAGCCACUCAGGUGCCCUUCAUCAUUCAUGUUUUUAUGCCUGUCUCUCUGCGCUGUGUUCUGGUCACUCUAUUUUUGCUUCGAAGAUUUAAAAUGCAUUCUUUCUCAUAGAGCAAGAGAGCACAAGCAGGGGGAGUGGCAGAGGGAGAUGGAGAAGCAGGCCUCCCCGCUGAGCAGGGAGCCCGAUGUGGGGCUCAGUCCCAGGACCCUGGGAUCAUGAUUGGAGCCAAAGGCAGACACUUAACUGACUGAGCCAGUCAGGCGCCCCCUUUUGUUACCCUUUUAUCAUUAGUUUUGUUUUGGUGGCUCAAACUUAUUGAUGCCCAUGGAAGUGAUGUGUAACCAUAUUUGGGCCUGGAUGUUAAACAUAUGAAAUAUGGGGGCUGGAGGAGGUGGAGAACAAUUCAGUAUAUAACAACAUGUCUUCAAUAAAUAUUUGUUAAA